GCGCUAGCACAGGAGAGCUUGCUCUCUCAGGUGACGAGCGGCGGACGGGUGAGUAAUGUCUGGGAAACUGCCUGAUGGAGGGGGAUAACUACUGGAAACGGUAGCUAAUACCGCAUGACGUCUUCGGACCAAAGUGGGGGACCUUCGGGCCUCACGCCAUCAGAUGUGCCCAGAUGGGAUUAGCUAGUAGGUGGGGUAAUGGCUCACCUAGGCGACGAUCUCUAGCUGGUCUGAGAGGAUGACCAGCCACACUGGAACUGAGACACGGUCCAGACUCCUACGGGAGGCAGCAGUGGGGAAUAUUGCACAAUGGGCGCAAGCCUGAUGCAGCCAUGCCGCGUGUAUGAAGAAGGCCUUCGGGUUGUAAAGUACUUUCAGCGAGGAGGAAGGCAUUGUGGUUAAUAACCACAGUGAUUGACGUUACUCGCAGAAGAAGCACCGGCUAACUCCGUGCCAGCAGCCGCGGUAAUACGGAGGGUGCAAGCGCUUAAUCGGAAUUACUGGGCGUAAAGCGCACGCAGGCGGUUGAUUAAGUCAGAUGUGAAAUCCCCGAGCUUAACUUGGGAACUGCAUUUGAAACUGGUCAGCUAGAGUCUUGUAGAGGGGGGUAGAAUUCCAGGUGUAGCGGUGAAAUGCGUAGAGAUCUGGAGGAAUACCGGUGGCGAAAGCGGCCCCCUGGACAAAGACUGACGCUCAGUGCGAAA
rnacentral:rRNA from 2 species